AUCGAACGCUGGCGGCAGGCCUAACACAUGCAAGUCGAGCGAGCGGAGGACGGGCGAGUAAUGUAUGGGGACCUGCUUGACGUACGGGGAUAACUCCUGGAACCCGUAGCUAAUACCGCAUACCAUCAGUUGCACUCAUCUGGGAUUAGCUAGUAGGUGGGGUAACGGCUCACCUAGGCGACGAUCCCUAGCUGGUCUGAGAGGAUGAUCAGCCACACUGGGACUGAGACACGGCCCAGACUCCUACGGGAGGCAGCAGUGGGGAAUAUUGCACAAUGGGCGCAAGCCUGAUGCAGCCAUGCCGCGUGUAUGAAGAAGGCCUUCGGGUUGUAAAGUACUUUCAGUCGGGAGGCGUUACCGACAGAAGAAGCACCGGCUAACUCCGUGCAAGCCGCCGCGGUAAUUC
rnacentral:rRNA from 1 species